GACGAACGCUGGCGGCGUGCCUAAUACAUGCAAGUCGAACGCACUCUCGUUUAGAUUGAAGGAGCUUGCUCCUGAUUGAUAAACAUUUGAGUGAGUGGCGGACGGGUGAGUAACACGUGGGUAACCUGCCCUAAAGUGGGGGAUAACAUUUGGAAACAGAUGCUAAUACCGCAUAAAACCUAACACCGCAUGGUGUAGGGUUGAAAGAUGGUUUCGGCUAUCACUUUAGGAUGGACCCGCGGUGCAUUAGUUAGUUGGUGAGGUAAAGGCUCACCAAGACCGUGAUGCAUAGCCGACCUGAGAGGGUAAUCGGCCACACUGGGACUGAGACACGGCCCAGACUCCUACGGAGGCAGCAGUAGGGAAUCUUUACCACAAUGGACGAAAGUCUGAUGGAGCAACGCGCGUGAGUGAAGAAGGUUUUCGGAUCGUAAAACUCUGUUAGUUGGAG
rnacentral:rRNA from 1 species